GUGAAGAACGAUGCGUCCAAGGCGGACAAAAUGGCCUGUCGCUGGGAGUCGUUGAACGCGGCUUCCAAACCUGACUUGAGCGGCGGCGGCAGGCUGGUCGCCUCCCAGGACGUCAACGAAGAUGGUGCGGAGGCGGAGUGGGUGUCGUUGGUGGCUGCAGCUGCGGGCUUGGGAGCCAGCAGGAAGCGCACCAUGGGCUCGUGCAAUCGCGGCAAGUUACAUAGUGCCUGCGCGGGUGUGGAGUGUGGUUGCAGCCGGGGAGCAGCGCAGCGAGGGGAGGGGAGGGAAAGACGAACCACACGCGAUUGAAGCUGCUGCCAGGGCAAGAUAGUAGCAAACGUAAAAACUGACCGAAAAGGGGAGGGGAGGGGAGGGAGAUGGGAAUCAUAUGCAAAAGUCGAAGUGAGACACGUGACGACGUUUGGGAGGUGGGUCGGGGGUACAGCGGCAGGUGAUGAAGCGGUCCGCAGUCCCCGCAUGUCCAUACCGGGGUCCAGUCACGCUGAGUACACCCAUAUUCGCCGAUUGUGUCAUGUUCGUCAUGUCUUUGCAACUGAGCCGCACAGCUCAGUUCGCGAGAAACGGAUAAAUGCAACAAAGCUGCAACGCACACACACAUACUCCUGUCCUUCUGCACACUUCGCCCUCGGGGAGGCCGGCACACGUAUCGAACCCUGCCACCAUCACCACCAGUACAUCCCGGGAAUCAACAGCAUUGCUGGUCUGAGCUGCCCAGUCGUUACGCCAGUUAGUCAGUCAGUCAGUCAAUCAGUCGACCAGUCAGCAAGUUAAGGGCCACAUCGCCGCAUGGCGGUAAUCACUUUUUACAACCCACGCAAGUGCACUACUUGCGUCACUCGUUCAAACGCUCCUCACCCCGGCCCGCGCUCCCGCCCCUACCCACCACAAAUUCUCUGAAAUGCGACACCAGGGAAUGCAACACGGUGAGAUGCCACUCGCUGCGAGGGAGCAUCACACCCUCCAGCCGAGGGC
rnacentral:lncRNA from 1 species